GGGCCUGUAGCUCAGUUGGGAGAGCGCUAGAAUCGCACUCUAGAGGUCGCAGGUUCGAUCCCUGUCAGGUCCACCC
rnacentral:tRNA from 3 species